CGAACGGGUUCAGAGCUGGAGCGCAGGAAAGGGGGAAAAAAAAAGUGUUACGUGAGAGGAUUCGGGCGUGAGAGAGGAAACCCCGCGUCCACAUUACCUUGCUCCUCGAUGUCAGAAAGUACUUUGGCCAGAUUCCUGACGUAGUCUCUGGAGAUGGAAGCCGAACUGACGGGAUGAUCCCACAUUUGUACCAGGUGGGAGCGGCAUGCAGAGACCCCCGGUGGCUUCCAGGAUCCGAAGCAUGAAGUGAAACGCAGCCCACUCGCCCGGACCGGCUGGCUGCGUGCUGGAGCCAGAGAAAUUCAGACAUGGGAGGCGUCGCGAAAGCACACGCAUGCCGAUUUAUAUUCAAGCCUAUGAGCAGCCUCUGGUGGUGAUCCUCCUCUUGGAAAAGUGGCACCAGCUUCCUGUCUGGAGGCGACGAGAGAAACGUUGGGAUGGAAAAAAAAUGGCACACUUCUGGAGUCUAAGGUAGGGGCCUGUACAAUUCUGCUCAUGAACCGGUCAUU